rnacentral:ncRNA from 2 species
CUACAGUGACCGGGCCGUGGUGCUCGGGAAGACCGGUGCUGGACCUCGUGUCCGAAGCCGGCGCGGCCCUCGCCACUGUGAUCGGGGAGUUUCCGCCCCUCUGCGUGCGCGCCCAGCGCGCGCACGGCGCCACUGACCGCAGCCUGCGGCCGGGAAGGCGGGGCGGACGCGGGCACCCGUAAGCCAGGAGACCGGCCACGGCAUCUCACGAAAU